GUUUCACUUUACAUCACUUUCGUAUUUUUUUCACCGACUCGACAAAGAAUUAUCAAGAGCGGUGGCAGAGAGGACUGCCAGAGCGCACAAGCAUUUCCGCGGCCUCCCUCCUUCGGCGGAGCAUCCCCCGCAGCGACGGCGGAGCGUAAUGGGUGAUGUCAUUGUCUUCUUGCUCCGUCGCUGAAUCCGAGAGAGGAGAGAGAUGGUACUGCCGGUGGUAAGUUAGGAACCCUCGCCGUGAAAACCUUCAGCAAACCCAUCGCCAAUCGCAUCAAGAAACAAGCCACCCAUCACCCCAAGUUCAGACAGUUCAUCAUCAAUCUUGCCCAGGUGGCCGGAGCAGCUCUUAUAUUUAAAGUUUAAAGAAGUUCUAGAUCAGAGGCAAGAAAAGGGGAGUUGCGCAGACAGGAACUAGAGGCAAUGAAAAGGAGAGACGAAGAAUUAGCUAGAGAAGUUGAGCUACUUAGACAGAGAGUUGAAGAACUGGAUCGACUUGCCAAAGGAUGUGGACUUACUGGUAUAAUGCAAACACGCACAGCCGUAAAUGAGAGUACAGGACCAUCUUGAUCUCUGUACUUAUAGAUCACACUAUAACUGACCAAUUUUGUGAACUCAAAUAUAGAACAGCUAUCAGUUGGCUGGAGCCUUGAUUUUUUUUACUAAUUGGGUCAAACAGAUUAAACUAUAUUGUACCCAAAUACAGAAUCUAUGAAGCAUGAUUUGAAUAAUUUCCUGGUUUCCUUUUGCUAAUAUUUUUCCUUAUGUUUCUGUCUGUUACUGUUCACACGCCUUUUAGAUGUUUGCCUGGGUGGUCGUUCUGAUGAUUAACGAUGUCGGAUUACAAAUUGCGUGUCAUUCUUUUUACAUGUGUUCUUUCUUUAGAAGGCUUCCGUGGGGAUCCCUGAAAAGGGUUGGUUAGUCGUCACUUAAUUAUUGGGAAUUCAUGUUGGUUGUAUAUGUGUGCCCGUGCUUGCCUUUGUGUGUGUGAACAACAGAAAUCUUAAAGUCGGUUGUAUUCUAAAUUGUUUGGAUUGCUAGAUGGCAAGUGUUUUGACAUGUAAAGAUGAACACUUUUAUUGAUGAUAACUUGUAAUUUCGACAUUUCUCUUAUUCUACAUUUGUGAUGAACAUGAAAAAAACUUUAGCAGUAUAAAUAGGACAAGGGCUUCUUGUCGUACGGAAUUCCAUAGUUGGUGUUCCUCAUCUUCUUCUGUUCAGCAAUAAUGGUCAUCUAACCUUGACAGCUGAAAGUGGAUGCAUCAAUGGAGCAGAUUUUGGAGCUCUUGAUCAAAACAAUCUAUAUAAGUGGACUCAAGCUUUUUGUCCAGUAAAAUUUCUCUAAUCUUAGCAUGGUUCUCUCUCACUUUGUUCCCGUAUGCAUCUCCUUCAUCCAUCACUGUAUUCACAGCCUUACACACAGAUUCCUUAGUCAGGCGCCCAUCUUCUUCGCCUUUCUCUACUUCGACUCCGACCUUCAAGUUGUUGCCCAUCAUCCUCGCAUUGAAUAUCUGAUCCCCCACUUGCGGCAAUAGCACGAGCUGACACUUGUUGACAAUUGCUUCAAUGGUCGAGCUGGUUCCACAAUGCGUAAUGAAGCAACCAAUGGCUGGGUGCUGAAGUAUCAACUGUUGUUGUACCCAACCGCCAUGGACUGUACCCCGUCCUUGAACCCUUUCUUCGAAUCCCUCGGGCAAGGCUUCCUCAAUUGAUGAUGUUCCGAAAGGUGGCUUGAGUGCUGCUAGGAAAGGCAAUCCCGUAAGUUCUAAACCCAGCAGUAGUUCUUGGAAUUGAUCCUUCUGCAUUGUGCAUUCACUUCCGAAUGCACAGUAAAUCACUGAGCCAUCCUUGAAAUCUCCUAGCCACUCAACCCAUUUCUCAUCUAGACCAGAUGUCGAUGGCUCAGGUAUGACCGGUCCAGAAAGCAAAACAGGCUUCCCAAACUGGCUUUUCAGGUACUCAAUGUAGGGCUGCUCAAUUUCUCGGCAUGAUCUAAAGCUCAGUAUGUCGGACUCAACAUAUCCAGCGAACAUACGAUCUGAGAACCCGAUAUUGCUGCCGUAAGUCUUGUACCUUAUUGCGAUCAGGGCUCUCGCCUCGUGGAGGUGGAGCUUGAUUGAUGAAUUUGGGUAGCCAGCUGGGGGGACCAUGUAGUCGGCCUCCGUUAACUUGUGUGCACUGAGGUGCCUUGCCGGAGAUAGGGUGUAGCUGACAGUUACAGGGCUGAUGAUGCAAUAAUGGACUGACUUGAUCCCCAGGUCACGUGCGAUGGCGGGCAGCCAGUGAGUGAAGUCAUGGAAGACACAAUGAGGCUUCAGGGUCUGAAGGAGUUGGCGAACCGUGGGCUCGGUGUGGUCCAUGGCGGUCAUGAUGAGCGGGUGGAGCGGGUAGGGCACGUCGGAGGUGGUCUCUGCAUCAGGAGGGAGUCCCUCCACGUGAGGGAUGGCGAUCGGGAUGAAUGUGAUGAGGUCGGGAUGGCGGUUGAAGUGCUCCAGCUUGGCUCGGGUCCUGGGAGGGAUGAGGAAGGAGAUCUUAUGGCCUUUCUUGGCUAGCUUGUUGGCAAGGUGAAGGAAUGGAGUCAGGUGGCCCAUUGCCAACCAGGGGUACAUUGCAAUGUGCAGUCUUGAUUCACCCAUGAUGAUCCUGGCCAAUCCAAUAGAGAAUUAGAGACCUCGUAAUCAUGCAUGACCUCAGGUAUUGCCACGGCACGUCUCAAGCAAAACUUUGCAAGGAUGUUGCAUUUGAGGAUUGGCUUGGAAAAGAAAAGCAAACAUGAAUUACGACGGUGGCAGAUGACUUUAUCAUAAAGCUCUCCUGUGACACGGUCGUGACCUCUUUGAUCCGAAAAAGAAACAUCAGAUCACAAGCUAUCCGUAGGAUCAUGCAACUUGAAACCUCAACUGAUCACAUGAUUUCAUUUGACCUUUUAAAGACAACUGUAUAUAGAAAGAUGGUAAGGAAACUAUCCAGGAAAGAAGAAGGAAAAGCAAGAAGAAUACCCGUUAGACAGAAAUGUCAAAAUGCACGGUGAUUCUGUAGGACAAGAGAGGAAGAUCAAGAG